UACAGAGGGGGCAAGCGUUGUUCGGAAUUACUGGGCGUAAAGGGCGCGUAGGCGGCCGCCUAAGUCAGACGUGAAAUCCCUCGGCUCAACCGGGGAACUGCGUCUGAUACUGGGUGGCUUGAAUCCGGGAGAGGGAUGCGGAAUUCCAGGUGUAGCGGUGAAAUGCGUAGAUAUCUGGAGGAAUACCGGUGGCGAAGGCGGCAUCCUGGACCGAUAUUGACACUGAGGAGCGAAAGCCAGGGGAGCAAACGGG
rnacentral:rRNA from 1 species